ACCCGGGUCUCUCUGGACCGCAGGCCGACGCUCUAACCACUGAGCCAAACCGACCAGGGCGAGCAUUUUCUUAUUUAUUGGCAAAUCUGUCACCAUUUAAUUAGUAUCAGAUUCCGACUUGCACAAGUAACAUUC